rnacentral:rRNA from 1 species
AUUGGACGCUGGCGGAAUGCUUUACACAUGCAAGUCGAACGGCAGCACGGGGGCAACCCUGGUGGCGAGUGGCGAACGGGUGAGUAAUACAUCGGAACGUGCCCGGUCGUGGGGGAUAACGUAGCGAAAGUUACGCUAAUACCGCAUACGAUCUGAGGAUGAAAGCGGGGGACCUUCGGGCCUCGCGCGAUCGGAGCGGCCGAUGUCAGAUUAGGUAGUUGGUGGGGUAAAGGCCUACCAAGCCGACGAUCUGUAGCUGGUCUGAGAGGACGACCAGCCACACUGGGACUGAGACACGGCCCAGACUCCUACGGGAGGCAGCAGUGGGGAAUUUUGGACAAUGGGCGCAAGCCUGAUCCAGCCAUUCCGCGUGCAGGACGAAGGCCUUCGGGUUGUAAACUGCUUUUGUAUGGAACGAAAAGGCUCUGGCUAAUACCUGGGGCUCAUGACGGUACCGUAAGAAUAAGCACCGGCUAACUACGCG